rnacentral:rRNA from 1 species
CAGCCUGAUGCAGCGACGCCGCGUGAGGGAUGACGGCCUUCGGGUUGUAAACCUCUUUCAGUAGGGAAGAAGCGAAAGUGACGGUACCUGCAGAAGAAGCGCCGGCUAACUACGUGCCAGCAGCCGCGGUAAUACGUAGGGCGCAAGCGUUAUCCGGAAUUAUUGGGCGUAAAGAGCUCGUAGGCGGUUUGUCGCGUCUGCCGUGAAAGUCCGGGGCUCAACUCCGGAUCUGCGGUGGGUACGGGCAGACUAGAGUGAUGUAGGGGAGACUGGAAUUCCUGGUGUAGCGGUGAAAUGCGCAGAUAUCAGGAGGAACACCGAUGGCGAAGGCAGGUCUCUGGGCAUUAACUGACGCUGAGGAGCGAAAGCAUGGGGAGCGAACAGGAUUAGAUACCCUGGUAGUCCAUGCCGUAAACGUUGGGCACUAGGUGUGGGGGACAUUCCACGUUUUCCGCGCCGUAGCUAACGCAUUAAGUGCCCCGCCUGGGGAGUACGGCCGCAAGGCUAAAACUCAAAGGAAUUGACGGGGGCCCGCACAAGCGGCGGAGCAUGCGGAUUAAUUCGAUGCAACGCGAAGAACCUUACCAAGGCUUGACAUGGGCCGGACCGGGCUGGAAACAGUCCUUCCCCUUUGG